UACGGAGGGUGCAAGCGUUGUCCGGAAUUACUGGGCGUAAAGCGUGCGCAGGCGGCGCGUUAAGACAGGUGUGAAAGCCCCGAGCUUAACUUGGGAAUUGCGCUUGUGACUGGCGUGCUGGAGUGUGGCAGAGGGAGGUGGAAUUCCACGUGUAGCAGUGAAAUGCGUAGAGAUGUGGAGGAACACCGAUGGCGAAGGCAGCCUCCUGGGCCAGCACUGACGCUCAUGCACGAAAGCGUGGGGAGCAAACAGG
rnacentral:rRNA from 1 species